AUGGAGAUGGUCCUCCACUCUCCUUGGGUCUCUGCGGCUCCUCCUCUCAGACAAAGUCUGCAUCUUUUAUGUGUUAAUGGUUUUGACAUCGACCAUUUGCCUCAUUUUCAUUUUAAGCGAUGGGCAGAGUCUUACUGCCUUUCUUCUCUGUUCUCCGAGUGCCGCACCCACUGUGAGCCGGCUCAUCAGCCUGAAAGAUGUGCGCCCGCGGUAUGUCAUGGAUGUGGCGGCCAAGGACGGGCAGCUGCUCUGCUCCGUGGUGCCGACCCUCGCCACGCAGAGGUAGGGAACGCGGGGAGCGAGCGGCGGCUGCGGGCGGGGAGCGGGGUCCUGGGCUUCGGCGAGACGCGACCCGUCGCGCCGCUGUGGAGCUGCAAACUGGUGCUGCGUGAGUGACCCGGAGGCUCGAAAGGGCUGUUCCUUCCCCCUUUACUUGCAAUAACUUUUUCAAAGCCCGUGGCUCUAAACGUUCCCGUGCCGCUGUGCUCCCUGAAAAGAGAUUCUUCCCUAUUGCAAUUGGUUACGUUCGGAGUCUGUAGGUUUUCUCUAGAAGGAGCAGCACACUUUGCACACAGAAUCACAGAAUGGCUUAAGCUGAAAGGGACCUUUAAGCCCAUCCAGUCGGCAGGGCUGCCACCCAUCAGACGAGGCUGUCUGUUCCGUUCAACCUGGCCCCGAGUGCCUUCAGGGAUGGGGCACCCACAGCUUCUCUGGGAUGCCGAGAGAGAAUGCAGGAGAAAAUGCGCGUGGGAAGGAAAGUGCACGGCACUCCAUUCCCAGGCUGCUCUUAUUUAUUCUCAGGCAACAGGUGAGGGAUUGUCCUGAGGAACAGGGAGUGUCUGUGCCCUCACUGAAGAUGAAGCGGCUCCCUCAUCCCUCAGGACUCUCUCACCUGCCAGCGCUGUAUGUUUGUUUUUCUUCCUUCCUUAACCUCACAAGAGAGACACUGUGAUUAAGUAUAUGCUGUACCGAUGCACUGACCACAGAGCAAAGGCAUGCACCCUGCAGAUAUUUCCUGCGUUGUGAACUGGUGGCAUCAUAUCUCAUCACACGUCUGGGCAGAUAGAAGAAGACCCCCGAGGGCAUUGGUGCAGGAUGAAGGGUGUGCCACCGACAUACUGCUGGGAGGACUAAUGGGGAGCCAGGGGCACACUGCGUCUGAGGAGCAGAUAAUAAGGCAAACAGAGGAAGCUUUAGUUCAGCAUAAAUUGACUUGAUACGCGUCACAUUGUCUGUACCUUCUCUCACAGCGCUACUCAGUCUCCUGCUCCAAUAAGGGGGAAGUGAGCACAGGAGAAUGGCAGAAACUGAAGAAUAGUUCUGACACAGGAACAAGUGGCUGUUAAAAAGUUUUAGGCUGUGUUUUUGAGUGGUUUCUAUUUGCCAGAGAAAGGUC
rnacentral:lncRNA from 1 species